AGUUAAAACAUGAAAUAAGAAACUUUCUAAAUAGAAAAAAUAUGGUUAUGAAAUGUGUGAGAAAACUUAUGUUGAUGAUCACAAAAUUGCAUAUCCUUAUUCUCUUUAGUGUGCAAGCCGAUAACCUUGCCCAAACCACAUUCACUCCGUCUUCGCCUCCCAUAUUGCCUCUUUAUUCCUUUGAACUUGAUAUUGGAGAAUUACAUUUGUGCCUUACAUUUGAAAUUGGUCAUUGUGAUAAAUUGAAAAGGACAUGGCCAUUUCCCGACUAUCUUUAUGAACUUUGUAUAUCUGAAGGUUUUGCAUUUUGCUUCAUUGAAACCCGAUCGUUAGAAAACCCAUUUAAUUUUCAUAUCCUUGCAAAUUGCCUUGAAGUCAAUUGCAAGCCAAAAUUGAGAAUUAAAGCUGGCCAUCGUCGAAGUGCCCUUUAUGUUCGUUGUUUAUUGGAAUGUUAUUAUCAGCAUGUCACCAACCGCAAUGAUGUCAUUUCUAGGCAGAAUCGUUGAGUUUCAACUUGGAUAAGGAAAUGAGGAGGAGAAGUAUCAGGAUUACUCAGAUCCUUAGGUUGAUCCUGUUGACAGUACUUGAGGCUAGCUUGCCUCCAUUUUGUGGACUGCUGUGUUCCAGUCCUUUAUUAUAUUAUUUUGAGAACGAUAUUUAUAUAAUUCUGUUGGUAUAAUAAUAAUACUCUAGUUAUUUUGGCUUGUAAAUUAUAUGUGCCUUGUGUGGCACAAAUACUAUCUUAUGUGUAAUUAUGCAGUUACACUUUAUAUAUCUAUUUUGAGGUAUUUCAGUUAGAA